UUUUUCUGUGUUUUCUCCAUACAAUCAUUCCCCAAAUUCCUUGAAGAUAUACAGAGAUAAAGUUGCUAUUUCUGCCGAUUCUGAAUUUGUUCUUCAGUUUGCAUGUUUGGAUUGUUUAAGUAAAGGCUUCGCUUGAAGUUGAUUUUGUGUGAAGGGAGAUUUUCCUGUUUUUGUUUUGUUGUGAAUUGAUUUGUACUGGAAGUGUUUGGAGGAUGAGAGAUCUGCGUUGAGUGUAUGUGUUUACGAAAUGGCUACUUCUGAGAAUUGCCGGAACGCUGCCGGCGCCGGAAAAGUUGAUGCUGAGAAAGCGUUGUACACGGAGCUAUGGCGAGCAUGUGCAGGUCCGCUUGUGACAGUGCCAUGUGAAGGCGAGCUGGUGUUCUAUUUCCCACAAGGUCAUAUUGAACAGGUUGAAGCAUCAACAAACCAAGCUUCAGACCAGCAGAUGCCAGUAUAUAAUCUUCCUUCUAAGAUCCUCUGUCGUGUGAUUAACGUCCUGCUGAAGGCUGAACCCGAUACAGAUGAGGUGUAUGCACAAGUGACUUUGUUGCCAGAACCAAAUCAAGAUGAGAAUGUGGUAUCAAAGGAACCGAUGCCCUCUCCGCCACCACGAUUCCAUGUGCACUCUUUUUGUAAGACAUUAACAGCCUCUGAUACCAGCACUCAUGGAGGAUUUUCUGUCUUGAGACGGCAUGCUGAUGAAUGCCUCCCGCCUCUGGAUAUGUCUCGGCAGCCUCCAACACAGGAGUUGGUGGCCAAAGAUUUGCAUGCAAAUGAGUGGCGCUUCAGGCACAUAUUCCGGGGCCAGCCUAGGAGGCACCUUCUUCAGAGUGGUUGGAGUGUCUUUGUUAGUUCGAAAAGGCUUGUUGCAGGGGAUGCAUUCAUAUUUCUUAGAGGUGAGAAUGGGGAGCUUCGUGUUGGAGUCCGACGUGCCAUGAGACAGCAGGGUAAUGCUCCAUCAUCAGUGAUAUCCAGUCAUAGCAUGCAUCUUGGUGUCCUUGCUACAGCUUGGCAUGCUAUUCAGACGAAAACACUGUUCACAGUAUAUUAUAAACCAAGGACGAGCCCUGCUGACUUUAUAGUUCCAUAUGAUCAGUAUAUGGAGUCUCUGAAAAACAAUUACUCCAUCGGGAUGAGGUUUAAAAUGAGGUUUGAAGGUGAAGAAGCUCCAGAACAGAGGUUUACUGGAACUAUAGUUGGCAUUGAAAAUGCUGACCUCAAAAGGUGGCCUGAGUCAAAAUGGAGAUGCCUGAAGGUUCGAUGGGAUGAAACUUCUGCUAUUCCUAGGCCAGACCGAGUUUCACCCUGGAAAGUAGAGCCAGCUCUUAGCCCUCCUGCACUUAAUCCACUUCCAAUACCAAGGCAGAAAAGGCCGCGAUCAAAUGUUCUGCCCUCGUCUCCUGAUUCUUCUGUACUUACUAGGGAAGGUUCAUCCAAAGUAGUUGUAGACACUUCACAAGCCAGUGGGUUUUCAAGAGUUUUGCAAGGUCAAGAAAUAUCAACCUUGAGAGGCAAUUUUGUAGAAAAUAACGAGUCGGACUCUUCUGAGAAGCCACCUAUAUGGCAACCAUUACUGGAUGACGAGAAGGCUGAUGUUCAUUCUGCGUCAAGGAAAUGUAUAUCAGAUAAACGGCUUCCUUUAGGGAGGCCUGAAUCAUCUUUUACAGAUCUUUUAUCAGGUUUUGGGGGGCAAUCUAGUUCAUCUCAUGGAUUCCAUUCACCCACUGGGGGCCAAACAGCACCUGCUAGCUGGGUUAAGCGACAAGCUCUGGAUAAGGAAACUGAUUUCAGCUUACUGGCAAAACAAUGGUCUCUAGUGUCUUCUGGUCUCUCACUUAAUCUGAUGGAAUCAGGAUUGAAGGGUGCAGAUACUCUGUAUCAAAUGCGGGGAACAUCUCGACUCAAUUGUUUUAACGAGUAUCCAACCUUCCCUGGUCAUAGACCUGACAAUCAGCAGGGAAAUUGGUUAAUGCCCCCGUCCGUGCUGCCUUAUAUUCAGAUGUCCGCUCAUUCUGGAGAAAUUAUGCCUAAACCCAUGGCUUCACCACAGCCCGAAGCCAUGAAACCCAAAGAAGGGAACUGCAAACUAUUUGGCAUUCCCCUUGUAAGUAAAUGUGCCACCAUAGAUCCUGUCAUGUUGCGGAAAAAUUCCCCGAUUCACUCAACAAGUAACAUGCACUUUGGUAUACAUCCACAUCAAUUCCCUAUAAUUGAAUCUGAUCAAAGGUCUGAGCAAUCAAAGGGAUCAAAGCUACCAGAUGAUGGCUUCAUAGUUCAUGAUCAGGAAGAACAAUUCCAAACCUCUCAUCCUGGUACUCGAGAUAGAGAGGGCAAAGGCCUUGUUCAUUCAACAAGGAGUUGCACCAAGGUUCAUAAACAGGGUACAGCCCUUGGAAGGUCUGUUGAUCUUGCAAAGUUCAACAACUAUGAAGAAUUGAUAGCUGAACUGGAUCACAUUUUUGAUUUUAAUGGUGAGCUCAAGGCUCGUAACAAGAACUGGCUGGUUGUAUAUACUGAUGAUGAGGGUGACAUGAUGCUUGUUGGAGAUGAUCCAUGGUAGGAAUUUUGUGGUAUGGUUCGGAAGAUUUUUAUCUACACGAAAGAUGAGGUGCAGCGGAUGAACCCUGGGACUCUCAAUUCAAAAGGCGAGGACAAUUCUUCUGUUGCAGAAGGCUCUGAUGCUAAAGAAGUGAAGAAUCUACAGCUUCACAUUGAUUCCAGUCCGGAAGAUUCUUAGAUAAUAGAGAAGUCCUCCUUAAUUGAGGUUUAUUAAAAUCUGUGGAAAAUACUAUAUCCACCCAGCUGUUGGCAUUUUUAGGGAUUCUGGAAGGUGGUUACCCACAUCAAAGUCCCUUUUAGCUUCCGGAUGGCUGGUCUCCCCAUUGAUGCAGCUUCUGUAAUUUGCAGUUUCGACCCUUUUUGGCGCCAAAUUAUGAUGACUUAUCUAUAUACAGAAUACAUGAAUUAUCAGCCUGGUCACAGUCUUGCUUUCGCUUAUUUCCUUAUGUACAUACCCAGUUUUAACAGUUCUUCUGGCAGCUCUAGAUGUAAAUAAGAAAAUGAUACAACAGCAUAAUUUAUGUACAACUUGUAGCCAACUGCUUUGAGUUUCCUCCGUAUAUCAGGCUAUCAGCAGUUGUGGUCAUCCGGGUGAACAUGUCAUGCAAAAUAUUGGUCUUAUUGAUCAAGUUACUGCUUCGUCCCUUUUGAUUAACCGUGGUUGACGCUCACAUAGGGCCAAGUUCCUUCUGCAAACAUCGGGCUAUUAUAGUAGACAUAGUCAGUAUUUCUGAACUGGAGCAAAUUCUCCAAAGCUUGGUGACACCAUGGUGUGGCAAUUUGGUGCCGUUUUGUUACCAGAGUACUGGAGGCCCAGAGCUUGGCCUGACAACAUAGAAUUGGUUCAGUUGUUGAUCGACAAGGUUGCAGAACAAUGUGGGGUAUUUGGAGGAAGUGGGCGAUUUCAUUGAAACUUCAUAUUGCAGACAGCAAGUAGAUGUUGCCAAAUAUAGGUAUUUUAAAGUUAUCUUCAUGUAGCAUAUGGUUGAUGGAUCUUGUGCCGUCCACCCAUGGAAUGAUGAGUCCAGGCUCCCUCUACUGUUCUUUUAGUAUCUGAUGUUGCUGGAUUUCUUGUAUAUAAGAAAAGGUGUCACUGAAUUACUUUUGGUAAAUCAUUGCUUCUAUGAAACAAGCAUCGUAGUGCAUGGAUUUUGUGUCUAGCAAUCCUUGGGACUGGAUGGUGCUGCUGAAUAUACUAUGGUAUCGGGGCUUCUUUUUGCUGCUGCUUGUUUAACUUAUUUAAGCAGUAGCCAUAUCAUUUUAAGCUUUACUUUGUUUAUCUCGAUCCUCCGCCCCUUUCUCCCUCAUUGUAUGAACACAUUAAUGGAGCUCGACUAAAAUUGAUCUCUUAUGAUGAAUCUGUUGAUAUUUGUGAAA